rnacentral:lncRNA from 1 species
GUCAGACUUCAGUUACAGGGUGAAAUUGGAUCUUCUUCAUAAGCAAGGAGAGCAGGACACAAAGAAGCAUCAUCUACAUCUUACUCUGGGGACCCUUUGAUGCUGCCAAGGACCACUGUGACAUCUAUGUGUGGAGGAGUUAAACUGUGGAGCAAUCUCUGGGGGCUGGGGAGAUGGCUCAGAGGUUAAGAGAACUGGCUGCUCUUCUGGAGGUCCUGAGUUCAGUUCCCAGCAACCACAUGGUGGCUCACAACCAUCUGUUAUGAGACCUGGUGCCCUCUUCUGGUGUGCAGAUAUACAUGGAAGCAGAAUGUUG